GACGAACGCUGGCGGCGUGCUUAACACAUGCAAGUCGAACGAUGAUGCCCAGCUUGCUGGGUGGAUUAGUGGCGAACGGGUGAGUAACACGUGAGUAACCUGCCCCUGACUCUGGGAUAAGCGUUGGAAACGACGUCUAAUACUGGAUAUGACUGCCGGCCGCAUGGUCUGGUGGUGGAAAGAUUUUUUUGGUUGGGGAUGGACUCGCGGCCUAUCAGCUUGUUGGUGAGGUAAUGGCUCACCAAGGCGACGACGGGUAGCCGGCGUGAGAGGGUGACCGGCCACACUGGGACUGAGACACGGCCCAGACUCCUACGGGAGGCAGCAGUGGGGAAUAUUGCACAAUGGGCGAAAGCCUGAUGCAGCAACGCCGCGUGAGGGAUGACGGCCUUCGGGUUGUAAACCUCUUUUAGUAGGGAAGAAGCGAAAGUGACGGUACCUGCAGAAAAAGCACCGGCUAACUACGUGCCAGCAGCCGCAGUAA
rnacentral:rRNA from 1 species